rnacentral:ncRNA from 1 species
GGGGUAGUAUGGUCGCAAGGCUGAAACUGAAAGGAAUUGACGGAAGGGCACCACAAGGAGUGGAGCCUGCGGCUUAAUUUGACUCAACACGGGGCAACUUACCCGGUCCGGACAUCGUCAGGAUUGACAGACGCUCGUGCAGUUCUUUCUCGAUUCGAUGGGUGGUGGUGCAUGGCCGUUCGUGGCUGGUGAAGUGAAAAGUCUGGUUUAUUCCGCUAACGGGCGAGGCCUCGCCCUUAACUAGUCGGCUCGUGGUUCUCGAAUCGUAGUCUCCCUUCGGGGAGCAGGGAGAACAUCGGGCGAGUCGCAGCGAUCGUCGCUACUUCUUAGGGGGAUCCCGAGCAAGCUUAAGCUAGGUGAGAGAGAUCAAUAACAGGUCAGUGAUGCCCUUAGAUGUCCGGGGCCGCACGCGCGCUACACUGAAGACGAAAGCGCGAGUGCCUACGGUCUUGGUUUGGUCAGGCCGGGAACCCGCCCCGAGAGGGGAGGUUGGGGCUGUUCCUUCACGGGGGCAGUCUCGCCUACUGCGGGUUAACCGUGCCAAUCGUCUUCGUGCUGGGGAUCGGGGCUUGCAACUCAGCCCCGUGAACGAGGAAUUCCGAGUAGGCGUCCGUCAUCAGCUGGCGCCGAUUAAGUCCCUGCCUUUUGUACACACCGCCCGUCGCUACCUCCGAUAGAAUGGCUAAGCGAGGCCGUUGGACUGGGCCUGCUUUCGAGUGGGCCCGGAAAGGCGUUCGAGCUUAAUCAUUUAGAGGAAGUAAAAGUCGUAACAAGGUUUCCGUAGGUGAACCUGCGGAAG